AUAAUUCAGUGUGCUGAUUGGCAGCAGGCAGAUCCUGUCCAGGAUAACACGGUGUGGAAGAUGCGUAUUCUCCACUUCAUGUCUGAUGCUUAAUUACCUGUCGAGUUCAAUCAGUGAGAGGGGAGUGAAUUACAGGAGCAGAGCAGGUCUAUCCUCUGGAGCGCAGGGCCUUCAGUGUGCUGAAAAUAAGGGAAGAUUACAUACAAACUCCGCUGUCAUAUGUAUUUAGUUAUUAAUUGACUGGCAGUGUAUUUGCAGUUUUAUUUUAUCAGAAAUCUUUGGCACUAUCCUUGUAUCAUUGUGUCUCUCUGUCUGCUUAUUACUCCCUGUGGUCCAGGAAGUAGAGCCUCUCACCUGCCAGCACAUGAGCUCAUUAGUGCUCGUUGGCAGUGAUUUUUUCAGGUUCUCGUUUUAGUUAUUGGAAGGCUUACAAUUUCCACUGACAAGUAUGAUCUGAGUUGAUUUCCGUCAUUUUACCCAAAAUUAAAAGUCAUAAUGCUCAACAUAAAAGUUGGUCAAAUGCAGGAAAGAUUGACCCAUCUAAUCUUUGUUAAGCUUUCACAUACGUCAUGGUCUUCACCAACAGAAGGCGUUUACACAGUGGCCAUGUGGAUGACACCAGCACCAUCUAUCCAUCCAUCCUCCAUCACAGCUGCACCCGCUGAUCAAGAGUACGGUGAACAUGAAAUCCUGGCUGAAUUAAAGAUGCGAGGAGGAGCAAAGACCAUCUGGACAUUGGAUUAGACACCUUAGUACUUUCAUUCAAAAAGCAAUGUGUGAGGGGAAAAAAACCUAAAACUUUAUUGAUCAGAACAAAAGCCAGACACAGUACAGCAUGAACAACAGAUGCUCUAAUCAUUUACUAAAAAGACCCUCAGUCUCCAUAUGUCACAGGGAAGAAAAACACUUUAAUGUAUAAUAUAUAUAUAAAUAUUUAAAUCACCAAGUGUGAAAGUAUUGUGGUACAGCAGUAGAGAAUAGGCACAUACGUAGUUUUAUUAAAUCCACUGAUUAUUUUAUCACAGUAAGCCUUUUGUUUUAGGCAGCACUUCCUUCUAGAAAAUAAAAGUGGCUUUGUUGUUUUGUCAGAGGAAGAAACCCAUAAAGCAAGCUGUUUUGAAAUCCUUACUGCUCAUGACAUAAAACCACAGUAGUGUUUCUUGUUUUAUCACUUAGUGUUGACUACAACUAUACUGCAAUCUGUUUCAGAGGUGGCUCCAUACUUGACCUCUUGGGAGGUUAACAGAUAUGGAAACGCGUUGUGUCUCCUCACAGAUCAAAUCUGAUCCACUGCAGUCAAAACAAGCACACAACACGGCCAAAAUCCAAGGCUGAACGAGGAAGAGAAGAGAUGUUAAUCAUCACAACAGAGUACAAUUCCUCCACGUAUUCUCAACAUGUCAUGUCACUGAUUUCACUUGGAGCAUAAAAAGAUGGCGCUGGACGAAUGGUUGCAAGCUGCAGCAGCUCCUGUUAUCGCUUGUUUUUAAGGAGAAGAAGUUGGGAAAGCAACUGCAGGAGGUGUGUCUGCAUGUCUAUGUAGUGUGUGACCCAAAGGAUCAGAGGAGACUGACUGGCCACCACUCAGUGUGUCAUGGACAGCGAUGUAGACCUCAUAAUCAGAGCUAAACAGUCAAAAAAAACAAAUAUUACUGAUAUAUUUUUCAUUUCUUUCAAGACGGGGACUUGCGUGAAGCUUUGACAGUGACUCAAGGGAUGUUUAUUUUUACACCGCCUGGGUACUGACAUUUGGAUAGAUGAUGUCUCCACUUCCACCCACUGUACAAAAGUGCAGCCAAAAUAUCCCAGAUUUGAGCGCUGCCAUCUUGCAGUGGCAACAUCAUUUGGAGAGUCAGAGUCUGUGAUUGGGUGGUGGAGCCGUGGGGUCGAGUUCCCACCCGUACGCCCGCCUGACCCAGUCAGGAGCAGCACUCAGCUGUCAAUGAUGACAUUUCACCCCCUUUAUAUAGCAUCAAAUAACUAAUUAAGGCCAAACUAGUCAGAAAUAUGAUCAUUGGAACAUAUAUCAGCAUGAUAAGAACUGCCUAAAAUGACAGAAGCCAUCUCUAAGAAAAAAAUAUUCAGUGUUUACUUUGAGUUUUUAGUUUUGUCAAAGUCCUAUAUGCCAACAUGGAGGGGAAGGACUGUACUGCAGACAGCCACCAGGGGCCAUCCAGAUGUUUUGGCUUCACUUUUAGGGAGCUUUCAUGUCAUCAUGUAAAGUAAAUAAUGGCUACCUUUAUUGUAGCUG